GACGAACGCUGGCGGCAUGCCUAACACAUGCAAGUCGAACGAGAACUUCGGGUCUAGUGGCGCACGGGUGCGUACCGCGGGGGAACCUGCCCGUAGGUUCGGUAUCACUCCCCGAAGGGGGUUCUAAUAAAGGAUAAUCUAUUCGGACCAAGGAUUUAUCGCCUUUGGAUGGGCGCGGGUUGGAUUAGCUGGUUGGUAGGGUACAAGCAUACCAACGCGACGAUCCAUAGCUGGUCUGAGAGGAUGAUCAGCCACACUGGAACUGAGACACGGCCCAGAGUCCUACGGGAGGCAGCAGUGGGGAAUAUUGGACAAUGGGCGAAAGCCUGAGCCAGCCACGCCGCGUGAGUGAUGAAGGGCUUAGUGUUGUAAAGCUCUUUUAGCCGGGAUGAUAAUGACAGUACCGGGUGAAUAAGCACCGGCUAACUCCGUG
rnacentral:rRNA from 1 species